ensembl:rRNA 5S_rRNA 5S ribosomal RNA
GUCUAUGGCCAUACAACCCUGAACACACCCGAUCUCGUCUGAUCUCGGAAGCUAAGCAGGGUUGGGCCUGGUUAGUACUUGGAUGGGAAAAUGUAGAAAACAGUUCAGACUAAAGUCA